GCCCCUGUGGCCAAAUCUGGCAAAGGCGCCCGAUUCAAGAUCGGGAGACUGGCGGUUCGAGUCCGCUCAGGGGUA
rnacentral:tRNA from 1 species